rnacentral:lncRNA from 13 species
CCGUGCCAGCAUUUUAAGCUGUUACUUGUUGACACAUCAGUUUUUCUUCCUUGGAUAGGAUGAUCUCUGUAUGCUUUAUGGUAAACACCACAGGUGUUCAAUACAUUAAAGGACCAAAUAAAUGCAGUUGUAAUUAUGGAAAUGAAGGGAAAGAAUUCUAGUAACUGUAUCUUCUGAUUUUUCAGGUGAGUGUUCCUUGAAGCUUCACUGCAGUUCCCCAGCUACAGUGUCUGAAGACUGCUGCAGAUCAGUUUGAGCUGCUUUUACUCUCCAGGAACACACAGAUGUGACUAAAAAAAAUCUGCAUUCCCCUAAAGUAACAAAAUUCAUGCUACUCCAGAGACCCAGACAAAGGGGAAUUAAGCUUGCUUGAACUUGAGCCUGGGGCCUAGGACACUGAUGGAGGCUUUGCAGAUUCUUGGGUCUCCAUGGAGACGAUCAGAUUCUGGCAAAGUUUCUCUCUUGGGAGAAAGGCAGUGUUGGCUGCUUUCUUUCCUCUAGAUGCCCUCAGAAUGCAAGACUCAUAAAAGUGCUGUGUAUAGAUUCUCUGCAGACAUGGGGCCACUUUUUUUUUAACCAUUUCUGGCCUCUUUAGAAGCCUCCUGAAGAGCUCUCUGGCAUCCAGCAACCAGGGUGUCCAGCUGCCUCCACAAACAAUGAGAGCUCAUCAGUAACGGGUGACACAAGUCAUACAACCAAGAGCCAUGUGUCUGGUGCACAGCACCCUACACACAGUGAAUGCUCACUACACUUUUUAGCAAACAGUGUGUGGAGAAUAAAAGGAAUGAUAGCCAAGUUUCCAGGUCAUAUAUUUGGCCAAGGCAACAGUGAGGAUGCCAGAGUCCCUAGGUUUCUAGAAGACAAGUUUUCAGCUGCAGAUACAAACAUCAGGAUGCCAAUGUAUCUGUCAGGAGACGGUUGGCACAGUGUUGAGAACACAGAACCUGGAGGCUGAAACCCCCCACUUUCUACACCAGCUGAGAGUCUGUGGGCACCUUACUCAGUGUCUCUGAACCUUGUGCUCCUUCUCUGUGACAUGUAGAUUGCUAAACCCAUCUCACAGGGCUGUCUUCCAC